UGAUGAUAGUGAGGGCAAUUUCUAAGAAUACUUUUAAAUAUCUCCCAAGCUUGGUAGAGAUUCUCUCCUUCUUUCUAUCUGAAACUCAAAAUCUUACUUCUCAAACA
rfam:Capsicum annuum cultivar Zunla-1 chromosome 7, whole genome shotgun sequence